rnacentral:rRNA from 1 species
ACGACUCUCGGCAACGGAUAUCUCGGCUCUCGCAUCGAUGAAGAACGUAGCGAAAUGCGAUACCUGGUGUGAAUUGCAGAAUCCCGCGAACCAUCGAGUCUUUGAACGCAAGUUGCGCCCGAGGCCAUCCGGCCGAGGGCACGCCUGCCUGGGCGUCACGCCAAC